CAGGGGGAUUUGUACCUAUUUUAAAACAUGAGAAGAGGUUUCUCUCUUAGUUUCUCCAAACAAAAGGGGGUAAUCCUCAUUUUCUAGGGAUUUUAUUAAUGAAAAAUAGAAGCCAAAACACUAAGUUAGGGAACAUAAUGAGUCUUACCCCUAAGUAAAAAAAUAAUAAUAACAAUAUUUGGGAUAAAAAGAUAAACAAAACAAGAAUAAAUUAAAAGAAAUGAUAUUUUGGAAAGUCAUUGGCGUCUUGAGAUAAGAAUUAUUGAAUAUUUAUAGGGGAACAUUCCACAAAAAAAUGCUCUUCAUGAUCAAGACCCAAAUUUACAAUGUUGUUCUUCAUAAAAGUAUGAGAGCAAUGGAAAAAUGGCAAAUAGUUUCAUCUUCCAAUUCUCAACUAAUAUAAUUCCCAUCGAAAAGGGUUUAGUUUAGACUAGAUAAAGAACAAUUAUCAGCUCAUAUCGGAGAAAAACUUCUGGAUACACAAAAGUACAGUUAAUGAUAAUAAGAGAAACAUAACUUCAUUUAAUGUACUUAAUUAGAUUCUUAUUAUUUUUAAAAAAUAUGGAGUGGGAAAAACCUAAAUCUUAUUUGUAGUAUCUUACAUUACAUCCCUAGGAUUUGAAUUCGAAUGGCCAAUUUAAUAGAGCUACGUCAAGACCACUUGAUCGAGCUUUUGGGGCCAAUAUAAUUACCAACGUGUCUAAUAGUUUUUUUUUUUAAUGAAAUAUACACACGACAAUAGACUGCCAGAAUGUUGUUCAAUCAAUGACACGGUAUCUUUGAUAUAUAGAAGAUUUUUCCUUAUACUACCGAUGGAUCUGGUCAGCGUCCAUUAGAACUACAAUUUUCUGGGCACAAUAUUUACUAAAGUACAAGAUGGGACUUAUCAUGGUGAUGCUGAAGAAUUGAAAAUGCUGAGCAUUAUUAAACAGAUAUGUGCAAGAACAAGGAGGACAAAAUAUAUGAACAGGAAAUGGAUGUAAUGAAACCAAUGCAUCCUUUGUUUAUCAUUUGCUUAGAAUCCAAAAGGUUUCGUUUCCAAGGUUCAUUAGAGAGAAUGAAUUCGGAUUGUUUUGUCUCUACAAGACAACGAGGGUCUCUUCUCUUCUCUUCAUAGUCUUUGGGAAAGAAGAGGAAUCACUUCAAGGGGUUUAGGUUUUAGCAUCAAGACACCCAAAACUGGCUCGUUAUGUGUGACAGGUGCAUACUUUUUUGUUGCUAGAGAGAAAAGACAGAUGUUCCAAGUAUUAAAAUAAGAUGUUUUAGCAGAAAACACUAGUAUUAUAAUAUAUUUGCUAAAGAAAAUGAGACACUCCUAACCCUACGUACAUAUAAAACACUUCAUGCUUUGUCUUGUUCGUGCAUGGGGAGUUGACAUCCAUUUUAUUUGUUUAUAGCGUAAGAAUCUUUCCAAGAAUUGCUUCUUUUUUUUGUAUGAAUUCAUAGAUCAAGACAUCCAACCAAGCAUUAGUAUAUGAUGUACAUUUUAUAUGUUAAUCGAAAAAAUGACUUAAGGAUAAUAUUAUAAAUAGCUUAAGAGACCUAAAGUAGAAUCAUGUCUGUCUCUGAUAAUUAACUCUAUUAAUUGUCAAAUCAUUUCUAGGUAUAAUUCCUUUUAUUCUUAUAUAUGAAUUUUAGUUGUUUGGACCCUAAUAUUUCUCUCAAUUUGGAGCUCUUGCGAAUACUGAUUCGAUUGGUGCAAUUAAUGAAGUGAACCGGCUGGCCAAAUGUUUCCUGUGUCCCUAUGUUAAUUAUAUAUAUAUAUGGGUUGAUGGUCUAAAUUUGGCAGACAUAUCAUAAGCAUAAUUUCAUAAGAUUUAGAUUGUAAAAUAAGAGAGAUGAUCAGCUAACUUAUAAAUGGCCGGUCACCAAUAUAGUGCUAUGCAAACUGAGUUAUAUGUUGACUUAAUAUUACCAAUCUGGGGCUUGCUUCCAGAGUAAUAUUGCCUUUUUGACAGUUUUUCAGUUAGUCAACAACAACAUGUAAUGGAAAAAUAAAAAUAAAUUUAUCCCAUAUGCCACUUCUUAACAAUUACGUGCGUACUUCAACCUAGGGAUGACAAAAUCCUUCACGGGUUUGGGGAUCCAUGGAGCCCCACUCUAAAUGGAAAAAAAUUUAAAUAAUUUUUGGGGAAUGGGGUGGGAGUGGGGGGAAAAUAAUCCCUAAAUUCUUAAUGGGGUGGGGUUUGGUUUUGUACUCCUCACCCCACC
rnacentral:lncRNA from 1 species